CUUGAUCAUUUAAAAUAUAAAACAAACAUUUGUUUUCACAUAUUAUAUUGGAUUAUGCAGGCCGCCUUAAAAUCAUAAAAUACAUAUGUAUGUACUUAUUUAUUUUUGCGUAUAAUAUUGGACAGUCCAAUUUCAAACAACACACACUUUUUUCACAUACUUAACAAUUGACAUCAGCUGCUUUUUCCAAUUCAUUCUGAUUUCCAAUGCCAUAAAAACAAAUGAAAUAAUUAUUUGCAAAUUAUUAAAAAAAAAUCACAUAAAAUCCACUUACUUACCUUCUUGUUAUACGAGCCUCUUUUACGAUGGUACGAUCACGAAUGACAUGCGUCUUUCAAUCGUUUUUUUUUUUACCCUUUUUGGAAUUUUGACAAUUAUGUUUUCUCCUUCGCACUCAUUCAAAUAAAUCAAAAAAUUAAAGAAACUUUUAUUAUCGCCGAGGUUGGCAGGGUAUGUCCCUACAAAAACUGCAAACAUACUUCUACAAAAGCAACAAUCGUCUCAAAUAGCCUCAGUAGCGUUUAAAGUCAAUGUGGCAGCCAAAUAGUCGAUGCCCAAAUUUGUAGGAAAACACAUAACAUUUUCAUUCAUGACCGCAAUCGCACUUUCAACAGGCAAUCUCGCUUCAUUCAUAAAAGCAGACACCAUCACAUUUCCCCGAAUAUGCCAUUGCCGACAAGCGUCUUUUCGCGACGAUAGCAAAAGCUAAAAAUUGUAAAUUGAACAAUUUCUGAUGAUUCUUCUAGAAGGAAAAAGUGUCAACGGCGCAAACCCGCAAAGCACAGAAAUAAGUGACAAAAAUGUCAACAUAGUUCUUGUCGAUUUAAAAUAUUUUUCCUCGGCUCCCAAAAAUCUGCGUCGAUAUGUAUGCAAGCUUAUACAGAAACUUACAUAUUUACGGUGGCUUGUAAGUGAAGCUGUUACGGCAUGAAGGGAAGCGGUGAUAAUCGGCGGUCGUUCCUUUGUUUUUUCAGCACAGUUCAGAUUUUCUAUCAACAACACAAUGUUGUGACGCUUUGUCGUCGCGUCAGCUAUUCGACACAUUGACUCUUUGGCAAAGUGUGAGCUUCGGCCAUUGGUUGUCCGUGAUAACGGAGAUGCGAAAAGAUGCGUGCGGCACUUGUUACCAGUGCUGCCAAUUUGGAUUUUUUCCCGUCAAAACUGGCUUUUUUCGAAGGCUAACUGCGGGAAAAAUUUGAGAAUUGUGGGAAUUGGGAAAAGCGGGAAUUCUGGCUUUUUUAGAAAUUCAGUUGGCUUUUUCUGACUUUUUUUUGUGUUAUUAACACUUAAAUACAAAAAAUAUGCCGCGAUGUGUGGCUUAAAAGUGAUGAAUUCAAGGCAUGGAUUCGCAGGGAUAAUACAGACCAGCAGAGGGUUUACUGCAACUAUUGCAAGAGCACUAUUACAGCGAAACUGAGUAAUCUGCGAGCUCACGCUGAAAUAAAGAAGCACACAAGUGCCAUGAGUGGCUUUACCCAGGCGAACAAACUCAACUUUGCAAGAGCAUCUGAAAAUUAUAAUGUGCAAAUUAAGAAAGCAUCACUGUGCCUUUUUAUUGCACAGCAUACAGCAAUGGCGCAAAUUGACCACUUGGGGAGCCUAUGCAAAAAACGGUUCGACGAGGCGAAUAUAAAUCUGCACCGGACCAAAUGCACAAACAUUUUAAAAAAUGUAUUAGGACCACACUUUUCUGAAGACUUACGCGAAGAUAUCGGAGAAUCAAAAUUCAGCCUCCUCCUCGACGAGUCCACUAACAUAAGCGUUACAAAACUUCUAGGUAUGUAUUAUUGACAUAAUUUUUAAUAACAAUUACUUUUAUUGAAUUAAAUAUUUAUUAAAUUUAUUUUGUGAAUGUAUAUAUAUUUAUGUAUAUUAUUUAUGUAUUCGUCUCUACAUUUUUAAAAAUUGUAGUUUUAGAAAGUGGAAAUGCUGAAGCCAUUGUAAAUAGCGUCAAAAAUGUAUUGUCGUCCUAUAAAUUAGAUAUUAAGAAUCUCACUGGUAUUGGGACAGACAAUGCCAAUGUCAUGACAGGCAAAAACCAUAGUGUUUUCACAGAACUAAAAAAGGAAACUCCAACCCUAAUUUUAAUAAGAUGUGCGUGCCAUUCUGUACAGCUGACUAUUAGCCAAGUAUGUAAACAUCACCUCCCAGAGAAUUUGGAAUUCUUAAUCUAUGAAUCGUUUAACUGGUUUGCUAAAAGUUCAUGCCGUCAAAUAGAAUGUCAAAAAAUUUAUAAAUGUUUAAACGAUGAUAAGGUAAUAGGUUGUCAAAAAAGUCUUGCGAUAUUUUUUAUUGAAUUUUCAAUUGUUCAUAAAAUUGGUUACAAUAAUGCGAUUCAAGUAUCAAAUAUGCGCCGUUUUGUUCGAUGAUGGAAGACAAUUCGGCCUCUAUUGAUCAAAGAUGGCCUCUUCUGCGUGAGUGCUGCCUUCAAGCGGUCCAGUUGUUGGCAGUACAGGUCCGAAUUGAGCGUUUGGCCAUAGGGGAGCAGCUCAUAGUGAAUUAUUCCCUGCCAAUUCCACCAAACACACAGAAGAACCUUCCUGGCCGUCAAUCCAGGCCGUCUGGGCCGCUUCACCGCUUUUCGACCACGACCGUUUGCGCCUUACGUUAUCGUAACUGACCCACUAUUCAUCGCCAGUCACCAUACGUUUCAAAUUCAAAAGCGAUUCGCAUGCGUCGAUACGGUCAAAGAUGUUUUUUUGCGUCAAUUCGUGUGGCACCCAUACAUCGAGCUUCUUAGUAACUCCAAGCUUCUUCAAAGCUUCUUUAUAACGGUUUGAUAACUCAUGCCCAGCUCUUGACCGAUGCUACGGCUGCUACUAUGCCGGUCUCUUUCGAACAAUUCAGUGAUUUUAUCGCAAUUUUCGACGACAGGCCUUCCGGAGCGUGGCGCAUCUUCGACCACCUCUACACCAGAACGAAAACGUUGAAACCAUCGUUGUGCAGUGGAAAUGGAAACUGUAUCGCGUCCAUAAACUGUAUAAAUUUUAUUGGCGGCUUGAGAUGCAUUUUUGCUUUUAUCGUAGUAGUACUGUAAAAUAUGCCAUAUUUUCUCUUUAUUUUGCUCCAUGUUUGCGACGCUAUAGCUCACGAACGACUUAAGCCUCGUCGAGACCAACAGGUCUGGCCAGGCAUAUUUUGUUUUUAAAUGUUAUUUAAAUAUAUUUAGAGUGUAACAAACGACUUGCGCUUCCAGGUAGCUUCCUAGAAUUUUAUUGUCUAUAGAAUUCAGAAAAAAAAAAUUCAAGGAUAUCGUAUCGAAAAGGACGAAAAAAGGAUGUUAUAAUAUUACACCUUAGUCGAGACCAAUGGUGCUUGGCUAGACCCCAUAUGUUUUGUAUGAAAAUAUAUGAACUUUGGAAUGUUUCUAUCACUUCGCACGGUUAAUUUAUCUGUUUUCAUGUUCAUUACAUGUCCAAAUUGGUUUGUAUGUUUAUCUAGGUCAAAUACUUUAGCCGCUAGAGCGUUUUAAAGGUUAAGAAAAAAUGUAUUUUUUCUCAAAAUGUUACAUUUUUUGUGAACGCUUUUGCUACGCCAAGUGUGAACAAAGCGGUAAAUUUGAUUUCAAUCAAAUUGAGAGGUAAGAAAUUUCAAAAAUCUAUCUAUAUUGUACAUAUAUGAGCGUAAAUACAACACGUAUUUCCAUACAAAUGUAUGUAAACACAUAGGGGCCUAGCCAAGCACCAUUGGUCUCGACUAAGUGUAUCAGACCGUUGGUCUCGACGAGGGUUAAAAGAAACGACAAUCAAUCAAACACAUGUUAGCGCGUGAAAUGAGUUUUCCAAAAACCACUUUGACCCGAUGCGACGAAUAAAACUAGAACUACGCGCUUUCAGCGCCAACUAGCGAAAAUACCGCAAGACUUUUUUGACAACCUUAUAUUUCAAACUGUUGUUAAGACAUUUGAAUUUGUUUCUUAACAUUUAUGUAUUGUUUUUUAAGUGUCCGUGAGUAUUCCGCUUACUAACUUUAUUAUGCCAAUUAUGUACUAUUUGUUAUGUGUGAAUUGUCCUUCAUGUUGUUUCUGACAAAGUAAAUUAUUGUUUCAAUAACAUUUUUAUUGUAUAAAUUAUAAUUAUGUAACUAUUUUAAUUAUGUAAAUUUUUUCUAAAAGGUUCCUUUGAAAAUACCCAGAGUCAGUGACCCAACAUGGUUGCCAAUCGAAUUGGCGGUAUCGAGAAUAUUGGAUCAGUGGGAAGAGCUGAAAUUGCACUUUGGCUUAGCUGCAACUAAUGAAAAUGCUUUAAAGCGCAAAUGCUCCACCAGCAAUUCAGCGAUGACAUUAACUAUCUCUAUUUAAAGCCAAUUCUUUUCGACUUACAUAGGGUGAACAAGUCAUUCCAAAGUAAUAACGCCAACGCAACAGAAUUGCUUAAUGAUUUGGAGUUUGCCACAAAUUCACUAAAGAAAGGAGUUAUACUACCAGUUGAAUUAGAUAUUUUCGAAACUGACGAUAUUGAGAGGUAUGCCGAUACAACUUUGCAUAAGGGCUACGAUUUUGAAAAAAAGAAAGUCCCUGAAUAUAAAUGAAAGUAAAGAAAAACAAAUUCGGGAGCGCUGCACAUAUUUCACAAUUGAAUUGAUUAAACAAUUAAAACAGAGGCUACCAGAUAAUUUUAAAAUUCUUAAACAGAUUGAUGUUUUUUCGGUCACCAAGAUAUUGUGCGCGGUGAAGAAAGACAUCACAGAUAGUUUAGAGUUCCUGCAAUGCAAAAAUAUUUCUAAAAUUGAACGCCAAUACAACAACAUAAAUUUGAUUAAAUGGGACAACAUCAGCGACACAAACAAAUUUUGGUUUGAGGUGCUAAACUUUAAAGAUUCUGGUGGAAACCGCAGAUUUUUUGAGUUGGCAACUGAGGCCAUUCAAAUAUUGUGUUUACGCUGGUCAAACGCGGAGAUAGAAAGGGUUUUUAGACUGGUUAACCUAAUUAAAUCUAAUGUAAAAAAUUCAAUAGGCCUCACCACGACUAACAGCAUUCUAAGCAUAAGAAACGGAUUACGAAGGAUGGGAAAAUGCUGCGUCGACUAUGAAGUGCCUGUAAAAUAUCUGCAUAUAUCCAAGACGAUAUAGAUAAAUUAAUGGAAAUCUUUUAAACAAAAAUGAACUUAAUAAAUUGUUAUUUUUUUUAGA